UCUUUUUGGUCCUUGUUUAAGGAGAGUGUACACAUUUUCUUAUGGUGCUCCACCAUCAGUUGAAGCUGCCAGCAUGAUCUUAAUUUUCCUUCUUUUUAUCAAGGAAAGAUCAGAUCAUAUGGCAGUUUCACCUGUUGCUGCUUGCACAAUCCCAAGAAAGAAAAAACCCUAAUUUCUCUCAAAAUGAAACCCUAAUUGCCACACCCUUCUUUUCUGCAAACACCACCAUUCUUGUUUUCUUCAAUCCCUGGAAGCGUCUGUCAUCAUCUGAACCUCUUUGUGCAAAUUCAGGCUUAUCUGGAUUUCUGGGGAAUUUUUGUGUCUCGGUGCAGUUUUGAUGAUAUCAAGAUCCCUUGCUACUGCUUUGGUGAUUGAGCCUCGGGACUCCCAGAUUCUUCGCUUUGCUACUGAUUUGGAAUUUAAUCUGCCAUAUGAUGUAGCUAGGGCUUGUUUUUGAAGUGGGGUUUCUUUCAUAAUCCAACUACAGCAGGAUUACAAAACCGGAGAGAGAGAAGUGACCUUAAUUCACAUGCCCUGUGAAGGUUUGAAAGUUGUGACUGAAACUGCAUUUCCAUCUCUUGUAUUCUUGAACGAAUUCCAUGAGCUUUAUCUUUAGUUCAUUAAAUGAUAUUUAGCUGCUUUGGAUCUAGCUUAUUCAACUCCCAGGAUUUUGUAAAUCAUGAGUGAGAAGGAAGAAAAGAAGAGGGGUGAAUUAAAGAGAGACAGAGAGAGUACAUCUUUCUGUUCUUUUACAAGUUCAUCACAUUAUGUCCAACACAGAGAAAGAUGAUAUAGGAACUCAGCAGCAUGUUUUUUUUCUGAAGUUUGCUGAACAUGUGUCAUUGAAGUCUUGAUGCAACAGGAGUGGAGAAUUUUUGAGAUAUAGGGAAUAUGAUAGAUGACUAUAUAGCAACAUCAAGAAAACUUGUUUUGUGUGAAGAAAUUUUAACUUAACUUGUGAAUCUAGCUAAUAUUCCACUACAUAUCUUAUCUUUUACGGCUUAUAGCUGCUUAUGUCUGGUGUAACAGAAGCAUGAAUGUACUAUCCUUGUGAGACACUUUUUGCUUCUUGAUCUUAGUGCAACUUGUACACCUUCAAAGUCUAAAUAAUCAAGAUAAGAACAUUUUCUUGGGAGCACAAAAAUGAAACCUGUCGCCAAUGCUUGCCAUGAAACAAACAGAAGAUCAAUUUUGAAGUGCUUAGUUUAUUUAACGGUAGAGAAAAUGAAACGUAUCUCUCUAAAUUACAAUUUAUUCUCUCAUUUCAGCUUAUAAACAUAAUGCAAAUAGUCAUGUUUCGGCUGCACUUUCUGUCUAAAUUGAUCUGCUAAAAACCCUGUGAAUUUUUUUUAAACCUUAAUACAGGAGAGUUUGAUUAAGAACUGCUGAUGUUUAUUCUAAAAACUAUGAGGCUAUGAUCAAUAUCAUGUGAAGCUCCUUUCAGUUUUCAUGAGAAAAUGUUGUCUCUUCUCUCUCUCUCUCUCUCUCCCUGAGGGUUGCUUUCUUUCCUUCUAUCUUUUCUUGCUGGACUUUGGCCCUUCUGUUUUGGUGGUAAGCUUUAUGUAGACAAGAUUCCAUGCAGCUCUCAUUUUUCCAUAAGUACCAAAGUAGUCAGAUAUGUUACUAGUUUUGAUUUCUCCUACUCUUUCCAGAGUUUUUCCAUAUGUCCGCUAUCAUGCAUGAAGAAAGACUAAGUGAGGAUUCAUUGACAAGUACUCCUUACAUUCCAUUUGAAGAUGCUCUUGGGAAUUAGUCUCCAUAAAGCUAGAUCUUUGGCAUCAUUUUAGUUACUGUCUUCUUUAAGGGGAUCAAAGAUGGGUCAAGUAAUUCAUUCUCUAAAGAAGUGGGCUGCCUGUGUAUCUAGGUGGGGGGCCCGGGCUAGCUGUUGUAGUAGCUAGGUAAUUCAGUUUCCUUCACCCUGAAUGCUUUUACGUUAUCUCCCUAAUACAUAAUUUUUGCUCCUCACAGUUUAUCAGAUCUUAACUUCUCUUUUAAGGUCUUUAGCUAUGACAGCUAUAUGUGAGAAAUUGAACUGAUGCUUUUACCUAGGGUCUGUUUGGAUCUCAGGAGGAAAAGCAAGGAUGGUUUCCCUUGGGGCAACAUAAGGAUUGAACAGAAGUGCAAAUCCUUUUCUUUGAUUGUCACGCUCUUACUUACGAGUUGCUGCAGUAAACAAUGCAUGUACACCUAAAAGAGAGAAGAAAAAAUUACAUCAAAGUGAAAACAAAAACCUCAGAGGUUGGAUUCGUAAGAGAAGCUACUAAUUUUAAUUUGAUGUGAUUGUGA